rnacentral:rRNA from 1 species
GACGAACCGUGCAAACGUUGUUCGGAAUCACUGGGCUUAAAGGGCGCGUAGGCGGACCGGAUAGUCUGUGGUGAAAGCCCCCAGCUUAACUGGGGAAGUGCCAUGGACACUGCCGGUCUGGAGGAGGGUAGGGGCAUCUGGAACGCUGGGUGGAGCGGUGAAAUGCGUUGAUAUCCAGCGGAACUCCGGUGGCGAAGGCGAGGUGCUGGACCCUUUCUGACGCUGAUGCGCGAAAGCCAGGGGAGCAAACGGG